rnacentral:rRNA from 1 species
GAUGAACGCUGGCGGCAGGCUUAACACAUGCAAGUCGAACGGGUGUAGCAAUACAUCAGUGGCAGACGGGUGAGUAACACGUGGGAACCUUCCUAGGGGUACGGAACAACUCAGGGAAACUUGAGCUAAUACCGUAUACGUCCGUGAGGAGAAAGAUUUAUCGCCCUUAGACGGGCCCGCGUCGGAUUAGCUAGUUGGUGGGGUAACGGCCUACCAAGGCGACGAUCCGUAGCUGAUCUUAGAGGAUGAUCAGCCACACUGGGACUGGGACACGGCCCAGACUCCUACGGGAGGCAGCAGUGGGGAAUCUUGGACAAUGGGCGCAAGCCUGAUCCAGCCAUGCCGCGUGAGUGAAGAAGGUCUUCGGAUUGUAAAGCUCUUUUGCCAGGGACGAUAAUGACGGUACCUGGAGAAUAAGCCCCGGCAAACUUCGUGCCAGCAGCCGCCGUAA